ensembl:snoRNA
CUGCACUGUUCGUAACCUAUUGCUUGUUCAUCUCCAGGCAUCGGGUUCCAUUCCAGUGCUACAUUAAUCCCAACUGAGUUUUGCGCUGGAGGUUGCCUCGUAGCCUGACAGGCUUAGCCUUGGGAACACAU